rnacentral:rRNA from 1 species
UACGGAGGAGGCAAGCGUUAUCCGGAAUUAUUGGGCGUAAAGCGUCCGCAGGUGGCACUUCAAGUCUGCCGUCAAAGACCGGGGCUUAACCCCAGAAAGGCGGUGGAAACUGAAGCGCUAGAGUGCGGUAGGGGUAGAGGGAAUUCCCGGUGUAGCGGUGAAAUGCGCAGAUAUCAGGAGGAACACCAAUGGCGAAGGCAGCUCACUGGGACGGUAUUGACGCUGAGACGCGAAAGCGUGGGGAGCAAACAGG